rnacentral:ncRNA from 1 species
UUCAUUGUUUAUCGGAAACUUUAAACUAUAACCAUUCAAACUUUUCCAGAAGUUAGUUUGAAUAGAAAUUAAAAAGAAACUUCUG